rnacentral:rRNA from 1 species
GAUGAACGCUGGCGGCGUGCCUAACACAUGCAAGUCGAGCGGGAUUCAUGAGGACGAAACUUCGGUCUAGAAAUCAUGAUGAGAGCGGCGGACGGGUGAGUAACGCGUAGGCAACCUGUCCUUAGCACAGGGAUAGCCUCGGGACACCGGGAUUAAAACCUGAUAAUGCCAAACAGCCACAUGGCUGUUUGGCCAAAGAUUUAUCGGCUAAGGAUAGGCCUGCGUCUGAUUAGUUAGUUGGUGGGGUAACGGCCUACCAAGACGACGAUCAGUAGCCGACCUGAGAGGGUGAUCGGCCGCAUUGGAACUGAGACACGGUCCAAACUCCUACGGGAGGCAGCAGUGGAGAAUAUUGCACAAUGGGCGAAAGCCUGAUGCAGCAACGCCGCGUGAGCGAUGAAGGCCUUUGGGUCGUAAAGCGCUGUCCUAGGGGACGAACAAAAUGACGGUACCCUUGGAGGAAGCCCCGGCUAACUACGUGCCAGCCGCCGCGGUAAAAC